rnacentral:tRNA from 1 species
GAGGGUACAGCUCAGUGGUAGAGCACAUGCUUAGCGUGCAUGUGGUCCUGGGUUCAAUCCCUAGUACCGCCA